rnacentral:rRNA from 1 species
GAAGGUGGCAAGCGUUACUCGGAAUUACUAGGCGUAAAGGGCAGGUAGGUGGUUUGAUAAGUCUGUUGUGAAAGCUCCUGGCUUAACUGGGAGAGGUCAACAGAAACUAUCAGGCUUGAGUAUGGGAGAGGGUACUGGAAUUCCCGGUGUAGCGGUGAAAUGCGCAGAGAUCGGGAGGAACACCUAUGGCGAAAGCAGGUACCUGGACCAUUACUGACACUCAGCUGCGAAAGCUAGGGGAGCAAACAGGAUUAGAUACCCUGGUAGUCCUAGCCGUAAACGAUGCACAUUAGACGUGAGGGGUAUCGACCCCCUUCGUGUCGACGCAAACGCAUUAAAUGUGCCGCCUGGGGAGUACGGCCGCAAGGUUG